rnacentral:lncRNA from 1 species
GGAUUUCAUUUUUGUAUUAUUCGGUUAGACCGAAUACCGAAUAAGUUGUUAAAGAAAUUAAUCAUUAUCUUAAUAACUCUCAUCUCACUUCUCAGGCCUUACUCUCUCAGUCUCUUCGCCCUUAGCAGUUAGCCCCUUACUCUCUCAGUCUCUCGGUCUCUUCGUCUCUUUCCUUAUCUUUUAUCUCAGAGUCUCAAUCACUCUCAACCCAGAUCUGAUCUAACAGAAGUCAGAUCUCAAUUUCUCAUCUCCCGUAUUAGACCGACUAGAUCCAUUCUCCCUCCUCUUCAUUUAUUCCCGAUCUCAAAUUUUCCGGCAAACCAAACGAAAAGCCAUAGCUCUCCACCUAAAACUUCGAUCUUCAAUCUCCUCAACACUACUCAUGCCAAAAAAAAUAUCAUCUCCUCCUUCAAUCAAAUGGGUGCCAUCAUCUAACAGAAUCAAAUCAGGGGAAGGAACCUAAUCAGCCCCAAUCAAAUGGUGAAGACCCAAAUUCCGGCGAAGCUCGUCGACCGGUGAUUGCUCGUCGCCUGUUUUCGUUUGCCAGAAAUAGUUACAGUUUGCCGGAGAUGGUUAUAGUUGUGUCACGUGGUUGGGUGUGCUGCUGCUGAUGGUUGGUUUUUAUUGGAAAGACCCACUUGGUUUUUUCAUAUUAUACUCAAGUAACAUAUUGCUGUCAUCUUAUUGUUGUUGUCACCUUUUAUUGAUCCCCACGUGGACAUCUUAUUGCUAUUAGGAAUCAUCUUAUUGUUGGGCUUUCAUCAGUUUCAUGUGGGCUGAGUUGGUUUUUAUUGUUAUUGAUCCCCAUGUGGACAGUUUAUUGUAGCUUAUUGCUAUUGUUGGGCUUUCAUGUGGGCUGAGUUUUAGUUGACUGGUGGGCUUCUUCUCUCAAAUUCGGUUAUUAUUCGAAUUACCGAAUUCUAAAUUCGGUAAUUCGGUUAGUUAUGAAUUUCGGUUAAUAUUUCGGAUAGUAAAAUUAUUAAUAUUUCGGUAUUCGGUUAUAACCGAAUAGUCUGUUCGGUUCCGUUAUAACCGAAUGAUCACCCCUAGGCGCUAGCUAGUAGUACUGGUGGAUGGAUUUUUUUUUGCCAGGUUGACUAAUAUACCCCCAACCAAUUCAACGAGAAAAAUUGAUAAGACAAAGACAAAAAAUCUUCCAGUCAGAUUAUAACACAUAACCCACCAGCCAAUUUCAAGAUCAUCUUCCUGUCUUCUUCCCUAACAUAAGAAUUCCGAUUACUUGAUCUUGGUGAAAAUUAUCAGGGAAACAGAGCCUUGAAAUAUCACGGUGAGGACAGUAGCCACCACGUGGAGGAUGUGGAGGAGGAUUAGGAAGAAUUCGAUGAGAGACGAGAUGAGGAGGGAGAGAGUAAGGAAAAUAUAGCUGGAAGCUGCACCUAAGAGGAUGUAAUUAAUUGGUGAAGAGGAAGAGGGAUGAGAUUGAGUGGAUGAAUUGGUGAUUGAAAAACCUUUUUUUGGUGAGUUUAUAAUUUGUUGGAAUUUGUGGUGGAGUUUUGUUAGAUUCUAACAAUUGGGUGUAAUAAUUUGAGACGAUUUUUUUGCUUUCACAGUCGGCGUUAGAUGAGUGGAUUGAUUCAACUUGUCGGAAUUAAGAUUAGGGGGAAGAAACAAGCAACUCGUUGGGAUAGAGAUUAGGGUCGCACGAUUGUUCCUGGUAUGCUAUAUAUUCCCAAUUGUAGUGGAUGGAAAAAAGGGCAGAUCAGGACUUGACUCUUCAAACCAUACUGAUAUAGAUAGUAUAUGCCAGUCGGAUUAUUUUCACAGUGGAAUAUCUAGCGGAUGUGGAGUAUUAUUUUUUAAUCUCAGCCGUUCAUAAUUGUAAUGGAAGAUAGAGAUGGUAUUUGUCAAUUUUUAAUUCAUAACAAAUACAUGUUAUGGAUUAUUGCCCUAUAUUCAGCGUCUGCUAGUUAUUCUAAUGGACUGGUAAUUGCUACAUCUCUCAGAAUUAUACCCCCAUCAAAUCCUCAAAUCAAAAAAAGCAGAGGAAGAAGAGCAGCAACAAAUGGAACUGUGUGGUUUGCAACCAGUAGCAAUCCGUAUUGAAGCUUUGCUCUUGCUUUCAUGGCCAAGGACGUUCGUAAAUUCGUUCAGACCUUCAAUAUCUUUCGUCAAUUUGUCAAACAGAAUCAAUCGCUUGAAUUAGACCAACAACCCCUAGAUUCGUCGUCAAACGAAUCCCAGGCUGAGAAUUGGAAAAAGAAAAGGAUUGAUUGUAAAGAUAAUUCAAGUGUUGAAAAUUAAUGAAAU